CAAGAAGUGGACGUGUGGAGGUGUACCUGAAUGGUCAGUGGGUCGGUGUGUGACUGUCAUUGGACAGACAUAGAUGCCAAUGUGAUCUGCAGACAGCUGGGGUUGGGUGAGAUCGGCACUGCUUUGGAGCAGUCCAGGUUCGGCUCGGGCUCCGGCCUCUUCCAUUACGAGCGGCUGAGUUGCCAUGGUGAUGAGAGCUCCGUCAGCCAAUGCCAGAGCAGGACAUUUGUUACCGGGGACUGUAGCCAUGGAAAUGAGGCGGGAGUUGUGUGUGCUCCACCAGAAGGCAGUGGUCUUCCUCUAUGAUUGGUUGGAGUAGAAGAAUACUUUGAGGGGCGUGUUGAGGUGUUCCACAGUGGUAGGUGGGGGUCUGUCUGCGAUGACCAAUGGGACGACAGAGAUGCAGAGGUGGUCUGUCAACAGCUGGGCUUCGGGGGUGUGGCGAAGGCCUGGUCGUGGGCUCACUUCGGACAGAGCUCAGGUCCCAUCCUAUUGGACGCCGUGAGGUGUCUUCACUGACAUUUUCAACCUGUCCCCAUAUGAGUCUGUAAUACCAACAUGUUUCAAGCAGACAAUCAUAGUCCCUGUGCCCAAGAACACUAAGGUAACCUGCCUAAAUGA